GACGAACGCUGGCGGCGUGCUUAACACAUGCAAGUCGAACGGAAAGGCCCUGCUUUUGUGGGGUGCUCGAGUGGCGAACGGGUGAGUAACACGUGAGUAACCUGCCCUUGACUUUGGUAUAACUUCAGGAAACUGGGCCUAAUACCGUAUAUGCUCUCCUGCUGCAUGGUGGGGGUUGGAAAUUUUCGGCGGUUGGGGAUGGACUCGCGGCUUAUCAGCUUGUUGGUGGGGUAGGGGCUUACCAAGGCUUUGACGGGUAGCCGGCCUGAGAGGGUGACCGGCCACAUGGGGACUGAGAUACGGCCCAGACUACAACGGGAGGCAGCAGUGGGGAAUAUGGCACAAUGGGAGGAAGCGUGAUGCAGCAAAGCGGCGUGCGGGAUGACGGGCAUCGGGUUGUAAACCGAUGUCGCAUGUGACGAAGAGUGAGUGACGGUAAUGGGUAAAGAAGCACCGGCUAACUACGUG
rnacentral:rRNA from 1 species